AAAAUCCCGCAAGGGAUCAGUAGAGUGGCAAACGGGUGAGUAACGCGUGGGCGACCUACCUUCGAGUGGGGGAUAACCUUCCGAAAGGAGGGCUAAUACCGCAUGACAUCCUGUCUUUAGAUAGGUGGAGAUCAAAGCUGGGGAUCGUAAGACCUGGCGCUUGAAGAGGGGCCCGCGUCCGAUUAGCUAGUUGGUGAGGUAACGGCUCACCAAGGCUCCGAUCGGUAUCCGGCCUGAGAGGGCGGACGGACACACUGGAACUGAGACACGGUCCAGACUCCUACGGGAGGCAGCAGUGGGGAAUUGUUCGCAAUGGGCGCAAGCCUGACGACGCAACGCCGCGUGGAGGAUGAAGACCUUCGGGUCGUAAACUCCUUUCGACCGAGAUGAAUGCCCUUCCAUCUAAUACAUGGAAGGAUUGACAGUAUCGAGGGAAGAAGCCCCGGCUAACUCCGUGCCAGCAGCCGCGGUAAUACGGGGGGGGCAAGCGUUGUUCGGAAUUACUGGGCGUAAAGGGUUCGUAGGUGGCCAACUAAGUCAGACGUGAACUCCCUCAGCUUAACUGGGGAACUGCGUCUGAUACUGGUUGGCUUGAGUGCAGGAGAGGAAUGCGGAAUUCCAGGUGUAGCGGUGAAAUGCGUAGAUAUCUGGAGGAACACCGGUGGCGAAGGCGGCAUUCUGGACUGCAACUGACACUGAUGAACGAAAGCCAGGGGAGCAAACGGGAUUAGAUACCCCGGUAGUCCUGGCCCUAAACGAUGAAUGCUUGGUGUGGCGGGUAUCGAUCCCUGCCGUGCCGUA
rnacentral:rRNA from 1 species